AUAGCAGAUCUAUACAUGUCUUAAACGUCACAAAUGCUAAUGAAUAGCAAAUGAUGUAAGACACAAGUUUUGGCCUAUUCCGAAAAUAGGUAAAGCCACUAGGGCUAUAUCGCAAAACUCGUGAAGAGAUAAGGGAUAGGAACUCUGAACGUCCCCAAUGAUUUCCACCGAGACGCAGCCCAGCUUCUCCAUGCCGCCGUGGCCAUGUGCUGCUGCCGCCGCAUAGGGGGGGGGGGGGCGGCUGCACCGUGCACUGUCGGCAGUUGGUCCAGGCCGCGACACCACCCGCCGGGAGAUAGUGGUCGAGGGCAUCGCCUCGCCGUUGUCAUGGUCUGCGACUUCGCCGAGGUUGCCGCCUGCGCGUGCAGGUUGCGGUCCUCGGGCACUCUGCGCCGGAGGACGUCGGCAUGCCGCGCAUCGGAAAUCGAGGCCGAGCAGAGCGUCGAGGGGGCGCCAACGCACCGCGUGCUGAGGAGCGCCGAGCGGUUGACGGCGAGCGUCACCGCGCCACACGUCGGGGCUGCCGUUGCCCUGCGCGUCUCCACGUGAUGGAGGCAGGGAGUCGGGGUCAAGCGCCUGAGGGCCCGCCACCGUUUCCGACGCCAGAGGCCAAGCCGGUGGUGCCGGUGUUCCAGUCCAUCAUGGGGCCGAGGCCAGACGAAGCCGAUGCCAUCCUCAUUGACGUUCUUGAUGGCCUGAUGGCGACAAGCGCCACCACCAAGUCCAGAGACGAUGGGUAUCGCUCUCAAAGAGGCAGUUAGAAAUCGAGAGAUUUCUGUCGUGACCGUGCACGGGGCGAGGCUGCCGCUUGGAAGCGCUUGCGCCGGGCUGAUGGCCGCCGCGGUAGCGGGCGCCACCACGCCAAACCGAGGGCUGCGGUGGUUGAACUCGCGAGCGAGCGAGGUCGUAGCCAGGCGCCGAUAGAAUUGCUCCGCCGGGAGCGUGCUGAUAACGUGUUUAGAAUUGAGAUUGAGAGAGACAGAGACAAUCGAAUGGAAUAAAUCAGUGUAUACUUUAUUGAUGAUGUGAUCACAUAUAUAUACAGUUUGAGGGGAUGCCACUAGAGACUGUA